rnacentral:rRNA from 1 species
GACGAACGCUGGCGGCGCGCUUAACACAUGCAAGUCGAGCGAAGCGGCGGACGGGUGAGUAACACGUGAGUAACCUGCCUUAGAAAUUGGGAUAGCCACGGGAAACCGGGAUUAAUACAAAAUGGUCUAAGAUGGACUCGCGUCCCAUUAGCUAGUUGGUGAGGUAACGGCCCACCAAGGCGACGAUGGGUAGCCGGCCUGAGAGGGUGAACCGCCACAUUGGAACUGGGAAACGGUCCGAACUCUACGGGAGGCAGCAAUGCGGAAUAUUGCACAAUGGAGUGAACUCUGAUGCAGCGACGCCGCGAGAGCGAAUAAGGCUUUCGAGUCGUAAAUUUCUUUUAUAUGGGAAGCGGUACCAUAAGAAAAAGCCCCGGCUAACUCCGUGCCAGCAGCCGCGGUAAUUC